rnacentral:rRNA from 1 species
CAAGUCGAGCGGCAGCGCGGGGCAACCUGGCGGCGAGCGGCGAACGGGUGAGUAAUGCAUCGGAACAUGUCCAUGUCGUGGGGGAUAGCCCGGCGAAAGCCGGAUUAAUACCGCAUACGCCCGAGAGGGGAAAGUGGGGGACCGCAAGGCCUCACGCGAUUGGGUUGGCCGAUGUCCGAUUAGCUAGUUGGCGGGGUAAUGGCCCACCAAGGCGAUGAUCGGUAGCUGGUCUGAGAGGAUGAUCAGCCACACUGGGACUGAGACACGGCCCAGACUCCUACGGGAGGCAGCAGUGGGGAAUUUUGGACAAUGGGGGCAACCCUGAUCCAGCCAUUCCGCGUGAGUGAAGAAGGCCUUCGGGUUGUAAAGCUCUUUUGUCCGGAACGAAACGGUGAACGUGAAUAUCGUUCGCUACUGACGGUACCGGAAGAAUAAGCACCGGCUAACUACGUGCCAGCAGCCGCGGUAAUACGUAGGGUGCGAGCGUUAAUCGGAAUUACUGGGCGUAAAGCGUGCGCAGGCGGUUUUGUAAGCCAGAUGUGAAAUCCCCGGGCUUAACCUGGGAAUGGCAUUUGGGACUGCAAGGCUGGAGUGUGGCAGAGGAGACUGGAAUUCCUGGUGUAGCAGUGAAAUGCGUAGAUAUCAGGAGGAAUACCGAUGGCGAAGGCAGGUCUCUGGGCUGACACUGACGCUCAUGCACGAAAGCGUGGGGAGCAAACAGGAUUAGAUACCCUGGUAGUCCACGCCCUAAACGAUGUCGACUGGUUGUUGGGGGUUUGACACUCUCA